rnacentral:lncRNA from 1 species
GCGCCACCUAAGAAACUCCAAGCCUACGCCACAUAUUUAAUUUCAAAUAAUUUUUAUGUGACAUCCACAUCUAAGGAAAGUAAUUUCACACCACUUAUUCUAAAAAUUUGGAUCAGAUUUGAUUUGGUUCAAUAUGGAAAGUAAUAUGGUUUAUUAUGAAAAGUGGUUUAGAUUCAUUUUUUUUUUUGAAAGAGUCCCUCUUCACAAGAACUCUUUCCUCUCAUGCGCCAACUUCCUCCAUUCUUAUCCCUUCUUUUUUGUUGCCCUUUUGUGCUUGUUAUCAGGCUCUCCAUGAAAAUUAAAAGGCAAGGGGCGUCCAAGAGUUGGACGCCCCAUGGACUCCUUGUUAGACUAGGUCUUAUGACCUAGUCUACCUUAUAUAAAGUUGCCGCCCCAUAUGAUAAGAAUAAGGAGUCAAAAAUUGUUGGAUUAUUGAUAGAAAAACUAAAGGAGAAAGAGGAUGGCAUGGGUGGUUUGAGGCACCAAUAUCCAUGGAGAAGAGUCUUCUAUCAAGAGAUCAAAAGUUGAUGUCUUGUAGAGAAAGAAAGGUAAGAGAGAAGAUUAUUUUCUCUUAUUAUUUUCCUUUCAGAUUAUUUUCUCUUUAUUUUAUAUUUUUAUAUGAUAAAAAUAUAAGAGAGAAAGAAGGAUGGCAGGGUGGAUUCAUGCUCCAAUGAAUUGGGGCAUGGUGAUCUAAUUUUAGACAUGAUCUGAUCAUAUUCUGAUGAGAGAAGAAGAAGAAAAGAAGGUCUUCUCUUAAGGUUUCUUUUAGAACCUUUGUUCUCCAUAAAUCGUGAGAUUUUUCUAUGAGAAAAAUUAGAUAUCAUAAGAUCUGAAAAUUUAAAAAAUAUCUAAAGAAGAAGGUCUUCUCAUGUCCUAGCAUAGAGAUGUUCUCAGGACAUCAAUCGUUGAUGUACUGAAAGAGAAGAUCUGUCUUCUCUUAGGACCCUUUUCUUUUACAUAUUAUUUCUGAUUUUAGGGAGGUCAAAAGGUUUGACUUCUUUCUUAUUCCUUCUCAUAUUCUUCAUCUUUUAGAAUAUUCAAGAGAUUCAAAGAAUAUUUUUAGAUUAACCAUCCGGAGGAAUCUGCAAGAAGCUAGCACUUCAAGCGGAUCUUCAUUUGACGUACCUCUGAUUUUAUUGCAGCCUCUUGUGGAUCACCUCUAAAGGCCAGAUGCGUGUGCAGCUCCAAAGGCAAUAAAAGAAAUCAACUAUGGAGUUCUCAAACCGCAUAAAAGUAAGAGAUCUGAUCUCUUCUCUUAUCUAGAUGUGAUCCAGGUUUUAGAUCUAAAACUAUUUUAGAUCUAGGGUAUUGAUUUGAUCAAUACCAAAGUUUUUAUUUUUUGAUUUAUAAAUAUAAUAUGACAUAUUAUAGAUCUUAAUUAUAGAGUUUAGUAAUCUGAUUAUAUACAUUUAUAUAUUAAAUUAUUUAAUUUAAAUAUUCCUCUGCGUUCUAUUUUAAAAUUAUUUUGAAAUUCAUGCAUGAAACCUUGCACCUUUUCCAACAGUGGUAUCAGAGCCAGGUUCUUUUAUAACAUGUUCAUAAUUAUAUUAAAAUAAAUUUGAAAAAUAAAAUAAUGAUCGCACGAACUAUAGGUUGUCCUGCUGUAAGAUUUACUUCUUACAGUGCAAAGGUUAUCCUGGUACAUUACGAUCUAAAAAAUUUAAAAGAGUUUAAAUAAAUCUUGUCAUGAAUGUUUUAGAUUAGGUCUAUUUUAUUUCAUAAAAUUUUAUGUAAUAUACAUAGAUUAAAAUCAGU